AAGGAAGGCAGCACGUGAAGCGGUCAGUGGGUUGGAAAAUCUGUCGGGGAAAUGAUUCAGUGUUGCAGGGCCAUUUGGAGUACGCCACAUAGCUGCCACGUCAUCAGAUGGGUCAGGAGUCAAUGGUACAGUCAGCAAGGUCAAUGCCACACAGGUCAGAUUUGUUUUUUGCGAUUUCGGGGCCGUUCGGACUCCGUUUUUGGCGAGUGAGUAGUCGAUUUCAAGUAUCUUGACUUUCUGGAUCCAACCGUGUGUUCCGUUUUCUGAUUGGAGGCUCCUAGGCAUGUGCAAUUGCGCUAGUUGAGCAAGAAUCAGGUGUUUGGAGGCUGGUUUAGGGUUGGAAAAUGACUUGGAAACACCGAGAAUGUUUUUUGGUGAUCUGUUAUGAGCUAGCUAGCAAGCAAGGAGACUUUACAUUCGAGCUGGUUUGUUUGUCUGGUAAUUGACACAGGCGCUUGCUAUAAUGAUGGUUUGCGGAGAUGAUUGACGAUGAUCGGAGGCAGUCUGGUUCAAUCGGAAGACCUUUCAUCGGGAGUUGCAGUUGUGAUUUAAGAUGCAUGAGAAGGAUGAUAGGGUCAAAGAUUGUGUUUUGUGAUUGGGCACGGGCAUUCGAGAUCAGUCACAGCUACCGAGCACAUUAAGGAGACAUUCAGAGGAAUGACACAGGUGCUGUAAACGGAUGGUGGUGACAGUGGAAGCGGUGCUAGUUCUAUGAUUGAUCCGAUGAAUAGGUAAGUCGCUGAUGACUAAACGUUCAAGCAGUAAGGGGGUGUGAGGUACUUAGGUUGAGGGGGUGCAGGUUCAACCACAACAGAUCUAGUCUUGCAAUGAGACACUCAAUCAGUUGGUAUACACACUUUCGGUGUGGGGCUGGUGAGACUUCUGAUGGCUAGCAAUGACACAGGCGUUUAGUUAGAGUGGUUGAACGGAUCAACGAUUGUCCCACUUGGGUGUAGGGGGUGUUUGUUGGGUACACCCAAGUCGGGUGGAUGUGAGUGUAGGGGAUUACUCCCCAUGUGUUUUGGUAUUUGUAUUAACUGCCAAGGGGUAGUAUGUGUAUG